GAUGAACGCUGGCGGCGUGCCUAAUACAUGCAAGUCGAGCGAACAGACGAGGAGCUUGCUCCUCUGACGUUAGCGGCGGACGGGUGAGUAACACGUGGAUAACCUACCUAUAAGACUGGGAUAACUUCGGGAAACCGGAGCUAAUACCGGAUAAUAUAUUGAACCGCAUGGUUCAAUAGUGAAAUACGGUUUUGCUGUCACUUAUAGAUGGAUCCGCGCCGCAUUAGCUAGUUGGUAAGGUAACGGCUUACCAAGGCAACGAUGCGUAGCCGACCUGAGAGGGUGAUCGACCACCCUGGAACUGAGACACCGUCCAGACUCCUACGGGAGGCAGCAGUAGGGAAUCUUCCGCAAUGGGCGAAAGCCUGACGGAGCAACGCCGCGUGAGUGAUGAAGGUCUUCGGAUCGUAAAGCUCUGUUAUUAGGGAAGAACAAAUGUGUAAGUAACUAUGCACGUCUUGACGGUACCUAGUCAGAAAGCCACGGCUAACUACGUG
rnacentral:rRNA from 1 species